UCUUGUUCUUUCUUGAUUAUUACAUUCUUUUUAUUUAUUUUCUUGGGAAGGUUUCUUUGUCAAUUUGCGUUGUAUUUUCCCUUCUUGAUUUUCUUUCAUGUGAAAGAUGGGUAUGAAAUUAUCAUCGGUUCGCUGUGUACUAUUUAAGCCUACUGAUUCUUGAUUGAAAAGUAGUUUUUUGAUUUAUAUGUUUGGGAACGACAAUUUUGGGUGUUUCUGUUGAAUUCACUAGCUUCUUUAAGAAGCGGAGAAUAAAGUGUAAAGCAUCAGUCCAAUGGGUAAUUCUUUUACGGUUCAAUGUUCUUGAUUAUUACAUUCUUUUUUAUUUUUUGUCUUUGAAUUUUGAGUUCUUGAAUACUCUCUUUGUUGGGAAUUUCUUGAUUAUUCGAGUACUUUGAACUUUCGGGAGAAAGGUUUCUUUGUCAACCUGUUUGUACGUAUUUAGAUUUUCCCUUCUUGAUUUUCUUUUAAUUGUUUGAUGUGAAAGAUGGGUAUGCAAUUAUCACUGCUUCCUGCGGUGUACUAUUUCAGUGUACUGGUUCUUGAAAUAUUCAACCAAUAGCCUACUAGUUCUUGAUUGAAAAGUAGUUUCUUGAUUUAUAAGUUUGGAAACCAUUGACAAUUUUGGGUAUUUUUGUUGACUUCGCUAGCUUCUUUGGAUAAUCAUGCCUUGAGAAGUUGUGGAUAAAGGCCAUUGGUCAUUCUGUUUAAAGGCAUGCUGAUGAAUUUGAUGGAGUAAUGAUUAAGACAGCUAAUGUAAUAUGGAAA